rnacentral:rRNA from 1 species
AAAUAAAGACCAGUAUGAAUGGCUAAAUGAAUAUUCAACUGUCUCCUUCAACUAAUCAGUGAAACUGAUCUUUCAGUACAAAAGCUGGAAUAUAAACAUAAGACGAGAAGACCCUGUGGAGCUUUAAAUUUUUAUCAGGGCUUGUAUAAAUAAUGCUUAUGGUAAAGAAUUUUUAGUUGGGGCGACUUUGGAGUAAAACACAACCUCCAAGAAAAGGCACCGCCUGAACAUGGCCCACAAGCCAAAACUAUGCGACCCAGUACCACUGAUCAACGAACCAAGUUACCCCAGGGAUAACAGCGCUAUCUUCUUCAAGAGUUCAUAUCGACAAGAAGGUUUACGACCUCGAUGUUGGAUCAGGACACCCAAAUGGUGUAGCCGCUAUUAAAGGUUCGUUUGUUCAACGAUUAACAGU